rnacentral:rRNA from 1 species
UGGGGAAUAUUGGGCAAUGGGGGAAACCCUGACCCAGCAACGCCGCGUGAAGGAAGAAGGCCUUCGGGUUGUAAACUUCUUUUAUGCAGGGACGAAGGACGUGACGGUACCUGCAGAAAAAGCAUCGGCUAACUCCGUGCCAGCAGCCGCGGUAAUACGGAGGAUGCGAGCGUUAUCCGGAUUUAUUGGGUUUAAAGGGUGCGUAGGCGGUCUGUUAAGUCAGCGGUAAAGCCCGGGGCUCAACCCCGGCGAGCCGUUGAAACUGCAGUGCUAGAGAAGGCGAGAGGUACGCGGAAUGCGCAGUGUAGCGGUGAAAUGCUUAGAUAUUGCGCAGAACUCCGAUUGCGAAGGCAGCGUACUGGCGCCUGACUGACGCUGAGGCACGAAAGCGUGGGGAUCGAACAGGAUUAGAUACC